GACGAACGCUGGCGGCGUGCUUAACACAUGCAAGUCGAACGGAAAGGCCCUGCUUUUGUGGGGUGCUCGAGUGGCGAACGGGUGAGUAACACGUGAGUAACCUGCCCUUGACUUUGGGAUAACUUCAGGAAACUGGGGCUAAUACCGGAUAGGAGCUCCUGCUGCAUGGUGGGGGUUGGAAAGUUUCGGCGGUUGGGGAUGGACUCGCGGCUUAUCAGCUUGUUGGUGGGGUAGUGGCUUACCAAGGCAUUGACGGGUAGCCGGCCUGAGAGGGUGACCGGCCACAUUGGGACUGAGAUACGGCCCAGACUGCUACGGGAGGCAGCAGUGGGGAAUAUUGUACAAUGGGCGGAAGCCUGAGGCAGCAACGCCGCGUGCGGGAUGACGGCCUUCGGGUUGUAAACCGCUUUCGCCUGUGCCGAAGCGUGAGUGACGGUAAUGGGUAAAGAAGCAACGGCUAACUACGUG
rnacentral:rRNA from 1 species